UGUGUCAGUCGCUGUGACAUAAAAUGCCGAUUCACAUUAUCAAAGACUUUAUGUGCAUCUAAAAACAUCAAAGCCAUUUGUUUUUCGGAAUGUGCCUCAUAGUAUUCCAGUGUGUCUAAAAUUAUUCUCAUAUUGUCUUUAAUUUGUCUCUUUGGCAGAAAUCUAUUUUGAUC